rnacentral:lncRNA from 1 species
CUUCAUCAGAAAAUUACAUUAAAGCAAGCAGUUUAAGGAUUCUUAGAAUCUCAGGGCAAUAAGUAGAUUUCUGGUAUUGUGCAUAUGCAUGUACAUUCUCCACAGCAGCUGACUGUCUCAGCUGGUGAGAUGUGAUACAACAAUGUGAUACAGGAAGUGGUAAUUUGGUGAUCCUUUGUUACUUUGGCACAUGCUUGUCACAGACGAACCCGUUCUUUAUUUUGAGUAAAAUCCAAAGGAAGGCUCUGUCCUGGAGUAUCUAACAAAAUGUGAUGGAGAGAGAUUUUGUUGUAACAAGUUUUGGGUUCAAUCAACUGUUCAGUCGUGGACCUGAUGAAACAAAGCAGAUUUUGUCUUUUUGUUAAUCCCUGCAUAUAUAUAUAUAUGUGUGUGUGUGUGUGUGUGUGUGUGUGUGUGUGUGUGUGUGUGUGUGUGUGUGUGUGUGUGUGUGUGUGUGUGUGUGUGUAUCUUUGCUGUUUUGUAAAGAGAUGAGGGACUUUCAUUCUCAGGUGAAUUAACGUUAUUUACUUUCAUGCCUUUUGGUUUUUACGGGAGGAGUUUCAGAGGUGGAAGUGUCUAAAGUAGGCACAGGUAGCAGAGGAAAAGAAGAAAAAUGAAGGAGAAGAAAGGAGAAGGGCUCUCAUAGUUUGUUUUAGGAAACAGCACAUUCAACUGGACUGUCCCAUUCCAGUGCUGGCUGGCAACUGUUGCUCUCUGUGUGUUCACAGUCAUUCUACAUUUCAUUGUCCUGAGAUACACCGUUCCUAUCUGGGGGUGUCUGUGGAUCAGCAACAAGAAUCUGAUGUUCCUGGCAAAAGUGUUACUGUUGAUCCACCUUCUUCAGGCUACAGACCAGCUGUGAUGCUUUACAACAGCUUCAGUUAUAUAUCAGUAUUCCCUUGCGGCUGA